GAAGCUGCUUCCUUGCAUGAGGUCGAUCGACAAGCUUCCCUAGAGUUGGAGGAGCCACAUGUAAGUGCAUGCUAAAAAUCUUGUUGAAGCUAUGAAAUGUUUGUAAGUUUCCUCCUGCUCAAUUUGUCUCAAGAAUUUUUAUGUUAGGGCAUUUUUAUUCCCUUUUGUGUGCCGGAGAUGGACAUCGUCUUUGGCGAGGAGAGAUUGAGUAUGGUUGUACUCUUGUUGCAGUAGUUCGAAAAGGCCCUUAUUCGGAUACUGGGGUCAAUGUGGAACCCGGGCAUGGUAGAAGUUCGCUUGUGGGCUAUACUGGACCUUUUGAAGGAGCCCGAAUUGUCCUCUCACUACUUAAGGCGCAUCAUCCGGGUAUUUCCAUGAUGAUCGUCGCUACUUCGUUUCCCGAGGACUGCCAAGUUUUGGACUUCUUCGAGUAAGUGAAGGAUCCCGUCAAUAUGGUGGCGGCAAACUGCGACCUGGAUGUAGGCGUGGAGUAGCCUGAAAAGAUAGAAUGACCUUUGUGGCCUAGGUUACACGCAUAAAAAUUCAGUUUUGUGCAUUUUUAGCACACUUGAAUUUAAUAUUAGUGUGAAACUUGGUUUGCUCCUGAU
rnacentral:lncRNA from 1 species